AACGCAUAUUGCGCCCCUUGGUAUUCCGGGGGGCACACCUGUUCGAGCGCCAUUUAGACCCUCAAGCAAAAGCUUGGUGUUGGGUUAGGCCCCUAAAAAAAAUGGGAACCAACCCGUAACUUGUAGGCGGUCACUCAUCCGCUCCCCCAGCGUAGCAGGCUCAUGGCACUCGCUUUGGGGACUUAUGGUGAUCUACCCAACUAAAUUUUCAAAAGGUUUGGCCUCGGAUCAGGUGGGGAUACCCGCUGAACUUAA
rnacentral:misc_RNA from 1 species